CGGAGGAUCCAAGCGUUAUCCGGAUUUAUUGGGUUAAAGGGUGCGUAGGCGGCUUUUAAGUCAGGGGUGAAAGACGGUAGCUCAACUAUCGCAGUCGCCCUUGAUACUGAAGAGCUUGAAUGUACUUGAGGUAGGCGGAAUGUGACAAGUAGCGGUGAAAUGCAUAGAUAUGUCACAGAACACCAAUUGCGAAGGCAGCUUACUAAAGUAUGAUUGACGCUGAGGCACGAAAGCGUGGGGAUCAAACAGGAUUAGAUACCCUGGUAGUCCACGCCCUAAACGAUGAACACUCGAUGUUGGCGAUAUACGGUCAGCGUCUAAGCGAAAGCGUUAAGUGUUCCACCUGGGGAGUACGCCCGCAAGGGUG
rnacentral:rRNA from 1 species